AGAUUAAGUUAUUAAGGGCGCACGGUGGAUGCCUUGGCACUAGAAGCCGAAGAAGGACGUUACUAACGACGAUAUGCUUUGGGGAGCUGUAAGUACGCUUUGAUCCAGAGAUUUCCGAAUGGGGAAACCCAGCAUGAGUUAUGUCAUGUUAUCCGCAUAUGAAUACAUAGUAUGUGAGAAGGCACACCCGGAGAACUGAAACAUCUUAGUACCCGGAGGAAGAGAAAGAAAACUCGAUUCCCUGAGUAGCGGCGAGCGAAACGGGAAGAGCCCAAACCAAUAGGCUUGCCUAUUGGGGUUGUAGGACACUCAAUGCGGAGUUACAAAGGAAAUGAUUAGACGAAUGGUUUUGGAAAAGCCAACCAUAGAAGGUAAAGGUCCUGUAGUCGAAAGUCAUUUCUCUCCUGAGUGGAUCCUGAGUACGGCGGAACACGUGAAAUUCCGUCGGAAUCUGGGAGGACCAUCUCCCAAGGCUAAAUACUCUCUAGUGACCGAUAGUGAACCAGUACCGUGAGGGAAAGGUGAAAAGCACCCCGGAAGGGGAGUGAAAUAGAACCUGAAACCGUGUGCUUACAAAUAGUCAGAGCCCGUUAAUGGGUGAUGGCGUGCCUUUUGUAGAAUGAACCGGCGAGUUACGAUUUGAUGCAAGGUUAAGCAGUAAAUGUGGAGCCGUAGCGAAAGCGAGUCUGAAUAGGGCGAAUGAGUAUCUGGUCGUAGACCCGAAACCAAGUGAUCUACCCAUGUCCAGGUUGAAGUUCAGGUAACACUGAAUGGAGGACCGAACCGACUUACGUUGAAAAGUGAGCGGAUGAGGUGUGGGUAGCGGAGAAAUUCCAAUCGAACUUGGAGAUAGCUGGUUCUCUCCGAAAUAGCUUUAGGGCUAGCCUCAAGUGAUGAUUAUUGGAGGUAGAGCACUGUUUGGACGAGGGGCCCCUCUCGGGUUACCGAAUUCAGACAAACUCCGAAUGCCAAAUAAUUUAACUUGGGAGUCAGACUAUGGGUGAUAAGGUCCGUAGUCGAAAGGGAAACAGCCCAGACCACCAGCUAAGGUCCCAAAAUAUAUGUUAAGUGGAAAAGGAUGUGGCGUUGCCCAGACAACUAGGAUGUUGGCUUAGAAGCAGCCAUCAUUUAAAGAGUGCGUAAUAGCUCACUAGUCGAGUGACACUGCGCCGAAAAUGUACCGGGGCUAAACAUAUUACCGAAGCUGUGGAUUAUCCGUAAGGAUAAUGGUAGGAGAGCGUUCUAAACGUGUCGAAGCAUGAUCGUAAGGACAUGUGGAAUGUUUAGAAGUGAGAAUGCCGGUGUGAGUAGCGAAAGAUGGGUGAGAAUCCCAUCCACCGAUUGACUAAGGUUUCCAGAGGAAGGCUCGUCCGCUCUGGGUUAGUCGGGACCUAAGCCGAGGCCGAUAGGCGUAGGCGAUGGAUAACAGGUAGAUAUUCCUGUACCACCUAUGAUUGUUUGAACGAUGGGGGGACGCAGUAGGAUAGGCGAAGCGUGCUGUUGGAGUGCACGUCCAAGCAAUAAGACUGAGUGUUAGGCAAAUCCGGCACUCGUAAGGUUGAGUUGUGAUGGGGAGUUGGAUCAUGUAUCCGACGAGUCGUUGAUUUCACACUGCCAAGAAAAGCCUCUAGUUAGAAAAUAGGUGCCCGUACCGCAAACCGACACAGGUAGUCAAGAUGAGAAUUCUAAGGUGAGCGAGCGAACUCUCGUUAAGGAACUCGGCAAAAUGACCCCGUAACUUCGGGAGAAGGGGUGCUUUUUAGGGUGCAAGCCUUGAAGAGCCGCAGUGAAUAGGCCCAAGCGACUGUUUAUCAAAAACACAGGUCUCUGCUAAACCGUAAGGUGAUGUAUAGGGGCUGACGCCUGCCCGGUGCUGGAAGGUUAAGAGGAGUGGUUAGCUUCUGCGAAGCUACGAA
rnacentral:rRNA from 1 species